GAUGAACGCUGGCGGCGUGCCUAAUACAUGCAAGUCGAGCGAACAGACGAGGAGCUUGCUCCUCUGACGUUAGCGGCGGACGGGUGAGUAACACGUGGAUAACCUCCCUAUAAGACUGGGAUAACUUCGGGAAACCGGAGCUAAUACCGGAUAAUAUAUUGAACCGCAUGGUUCAAUAGUGAAAGACGGUUUUGCUGUCACUUCUAGAUGGAUCCGCGCCGCAUUAGCUAGUUGGUAAGGUAAAGGCUUACCAAGGCAACGAUGCGUAGCCGACCUGAGGGAGGGAUCGGCCACACUGGAACUGGGACACGGUCCAUACUCCUACGGGAGGCAGCAGUAGGGAAUCUUCCGCAAUGGGCGGGAGCCUGGCGGAGCGACGCCGCGCGUGUUAUGAAGGUCUUCGGAUCGUAAAACUCGGUUAUUAGGGAAGAACAAAUGUGUAAGGAACUAUGCACGUCGUGACGGUACCGAAUCAGAAAGCCACGGCUAACUACGUG
rnacentral:rRNA from 1 species